GAUAUGAUCUUUGACAUAUGAUUAUUAAAAGUAGAUUUGAAAAUAACUUCUCCGACGAGAGAGGAGGUGAUUUCGAGCGCGCCAAGCACGUGACUGGAACCAUCUUUUCUCAGAAAAGUAGGCUGCACCGACUAUUCCUCAGCACUGCCAUCACCGAUGCAGAACCCUAACUGGCAAACUUCGACAUCACCGGAAUCGGCAACAACGGUGAAGUGACACCGACAGUGAAUCGCUGCGAAAUUUUCAGCUAAAGAUGUGCCUGAAGAAGACCACUUGCGGAUAUGGGUUGUAUCUUGGAGCCAUAUUACACCGCUAUCACCUCCAUGUAGGGAGGCCAUAUGACUUUGUGACAGUGCCUAGCAUUCCUUUCAUCAUCCAGGAAUGGACCAUUGAUUCCGAAUGGUGCUGAAACCAUCUAUCACUUGAUUCCAGAUGGUGUUGAAACCAUCUAUCACUUGUUCUAUUCCUGCUGCAGUGAUCCUCAAUUGGCAUGGUAAUACCAAUUUGAGUGAUAUUAUUGUUUGGAUCAACACAAAUUGUCAGUCUAGGAAGAAUUGGCUUCACCAGGUCCACAAAGUUACUGUUGCUUGCUGUGUAUUGUUCUUAGUGUAUGCUAGAAUUAAUGUGCAAAUUCCAUAACAAUCUAAAGUCGUAAUGGUUUUUUUUUUCCCUGAAAUUCAAUAUUUACAAAAUGUGUAAAACAGUUAAUUAGAAGAGAAUAUAUAAUAAAAAAUAAAAAUAAAAACAGUUUGUAUCAUUAAAGGGAAAACAAAUAUAAUAUUUUGAUUUAUUUAUUAUCUAUAUCUAUUCUACUAAUAAAAAGCGUAAGCAAUUUUUAUUUUUAUUUUUUAUAUAUUUUUAUACUAUUUUUUUUUUUUAUCAAGUACAAAUUUCAUUGUUAAUUAUUAGCUCGUAAAUGAACCAAUAAAUGUGAUUCUAUUUAGCAUACCAGCAACAACAUACCAAAUGACAACCGUUAAAUUUAUUUAGUGCUUAGAAUAAAGUAAAUAAGAGUUAUGGGCUGAAAAUUCAGAAACAAAACUAAGAUUCAGGGGGUUGUUAAUAGAAAAGAAGGAUUGAAACUAACAAAGAAAAGCUUAUUGGAUUACCCUACAAUGGAGGUAAUAAAAAGUUGAUUCUAACUUAAUAAAGUAACAAAUAACUUAAUUGAUGCAAUUUAAUCUAAUUAUGCAAUUUACCAAAACAAUGUAGAUUUUCCAUUAAAAAUAAUGGAAUUUGACCAAACCCCCCAAUAAUGCAAUUUACAAAAAUGAUGCAGAUUCACCAUAAUUAAUGCAAUUACCAAACUAAUGCAAUUUGACCAAACUCCCUAAUUAUGCAAGACUCCAAGUGGACCCCAUCGUCUAGCAUGUGCCAAAUAAAGGUUUGAGCUCUAGAGUCCUUCUUGCCAUGCCUUUUAAAUACUUUAAAGGCUGAUGCCACUGUUCUCUACCAAUUCUCUCCGGCUUGGAAAAACUCGUCUCCGACGAGUUAAAAGGAUGAAAUUGCUCAUAAGAUGAAAAGAGCAAGAAAAUUUCAGCCUUGUAUUCAGCAAUUUCCAUAAUUUGCACCAAAAACAAUGCAUAAACUUCAAAGCUCGAUCAGAAAUAAUAAUGUUGUGCAACCCAUGAAGUCGGACAACUUCUUGAAGAAAAGGUUUGGCAUCGUAGACAGCAUUGGAGGUCAUAGAACAUAGAAGAAAAUGCGCCUUUUUUUGAAAAAAGAUCCAGAACAAUGGUUAUAGCAUCAUGUCCCCAACUAGUUCUAGGCAACCCCAUAACAAAAUUAGCAUCUGACCCAUCACCUCUGAUACGAACUCCAUGGCCAGUACCAUGUCGAAACUCAAGGCUAUCCUUCCACGAAUGUAUUCGAGCAAGAACAUAAAGAGCAAACCAGUUGGUCUAGGUACUGUGCUCCAGAAUCCAAUAGACAAAUGUUGUUUGGAUCAAGUCCUAAACAUGUUUUCUCCUCUAGUUUAUAAUGCAUAAUUGCUGCAUUAGGACCAACUGAGGAAAUAGUGGGAAAACUUAACCCUUUAAAAUGAUCUUUUGAUGCGCGAGACCCCUCUAGAUUAUCACUUACAGGGUUAGUUUCGUCUGGCUGUUGAUUUUUCCAGACCUCAUCUACCAAGUUGGUGGAUAUCUGAACCAGCUUCUGUUGCUUCUUGGCACAAGCAUGCUCCCAUUUCUUUGCAGUGCCACUAAUAUACACCAAGUAUCUACUCCAAUAGCCGCAUCUUUGGGAAGAUUCAGAAUAGAAGUACUAUCUAUCCAAGACGUUUUGAAUGGUUGUGGAUACGGUUUGAUGGAAAUUUUGAGACGCUCAACCAUGGCUGUGGAGACAACAUUUGGGCUGCCACCGCCAUCAAUGGUAGGCUUCCGAGCUUGAUUUCCACAAUGAACUUGCGUCUCAAAAUGAGAGGUCUGCUGCCCAUCUUUGCCACCAACUUUAGGGUCUUCAAGGAUGCGCGUCACAACGGAGAUGGACGAAACAAUCUCUCCAACUUCUUUCACAUGAUCAGUGUUGCAGGUCUCAUCAUCAAGCAGGUUCUCACAAUCCUUGCUAGCCAUUGUACUCUUUCCUUCAGGAUCAGCCAUGUUAGAUAAAGAUGGUUUCGAUCCAUCAUUUGGCUGCAUUGUUGUUGUUUGUAUGCGGUAAGUUCCAUCACGUAACUUCUUUGUAAUAUCUCCAGCAACAUCAUGUGGGUCAUUAUGAUUCAUUUCUAAUGGAUUUCUUGGAAACUCCAACAUGGGAUGGAGUGGUGGAUCAACCUUCAAAUUACACCUUUGCAGAGAGUGUAAAGGCUAUUGUUGCUUGCGGUUUCUACCAUCAUUAGUACCCAAUGCAUAUUCUUCUUUAAGGGCUACCGAUUUGUUAAAAGGCUGGGAAAUUCGAGUGCUUAUCCUAUCGCAUUGAGCAUUCAGCCCUUUAAGCUUUUCCAAAAUUUGUAACAGCAACUCAGUCUUCUGAUUAUUGUCCAAUCUUUCAUUGCCCGUAAACAUAAUGUCUACUUAAGCUCUGAUACCAAAACUGAUGUAGGACAAAGGACAUGCUCAAAUAGAAGAAAGUAAAUAAAAGUUAUGGGCUGGAAAUUCAGAAACAAAGCUAAGAUUCAGGGGUUGUUAGUAGAAAAGAAGGAUUGAAAAUAACAAAGAAAAGCCUAUUGGAAUCACUACAAUAGGACCUAGGUAUCACAUAGAGAAGGCCUCACACCCUUAGAAUUUGUGAAUCACUCAUAAAUAAAUCUCAAAAGAUAAUUUUAUUCAAUCAUUCGCUAAGUAUUCAUAGUUACAUAGUUUCUUUUUUAUAAUAAAAGAUAACCCUUGGAUUACCCUACAAUGGAGGUAAUCAAAAGUUGACUCUAAGUUAAUAAAAUAACAAAUAACUUAAUUGAUGCAAUUUAAUCUAAUUAUGCAAUUACCAAAAUAAUGAAAUUUUACCAAACCCCCUAAUAAUGCAGUUUACCAAAAUGAUGCAAAUUUACCAUAAUUAAUGCAAUUACCAAACUAAUGCAAUUUGACCAAACCUCCUAAUUAUGCGAGACUCCAAGUGGACCCCAUCGUCUAGCAUGUGUCAAAUAAAGGUUUGAGCUCUAGAAUCCUUCUUGCUACGCCUUCUAAAUACUUUAAAAGGUUGAUGCCACUGUUCUCUACCAAUGCCGUUCUCUGCGUUUGAUCUGAGUAACACAAGAGGGUUUCCAGCAAAUGGUUACUCUAUUGGCUGGUUGCAAUUCACUUGUCCUUGAUCCUAGAACUGGUAAUAAUUCUUAUAAAACCUCUUCUUAUAUGGUAUGAUAUAGUAUACAUUGUUUCAAGUCGAUUUCACUUUUCUGCAGGAUCCACCACAACUUGUGGAGUCUUUACAGAGCUGUUUGGUUUCCUUGUGGAGUUCCCAAACAUUGCUUCAUCCUUUGGCUGGCUUUUUGGUUUCCUUGUGAAUGAGGAAUGAUUUUCAUUUUAUGCAUUUUAGCUUUCGGCUGCCGUUUUAUCUUUUAGGAGGGAUACAACUACGAAUGGAGAGUCGCGUCAUACCCUCAUAAAUCAUUUACAACAGUAAUUAGAGCUUUUUCUUCUCAUGGUGUUUCCAUAUUUUGAGGAAUGGACCAUUGAUUCCGAAUGGUGCUGAAACCAUCUAUCACUGUUCUUUAACUGUCAGUCUUUGAAAGUUUGGCAUUUUGUUCCUGCUGCAGUGAGCCUCAAUUGGCAUGGUAAUAUCAAUUUGAGUGAUAUUAUUGUUUGGAUCAACACAAAUCGUCAGUCUAGGAAGAAUUGGCUUCACCAUGUCCACAAAGUUACUGUUGCUUGCUGCUUGUACAUGAUUUGGGGAGAAAGGAAUGCUGGAAGAUACUCCAACACCUUCUCAAACGAGUGCUCUGUUGCCUACCAGAUUUGCAGCUCUUUUAGACUUAGAAUGCUCUUUCUGCCCAUCUCUAGGUUUAGUAGCAUGGGUGAUGCAGCCCUGUAUUUGGUUCCUUUUAUAUGUAGCCAGUGGCUGGUUGGUUUGUUUUGAUGGGGGAUGCCCCUUUUAUGCUUGUAUCUUGUUUCUUUUUUAAUAAAGUGAUUAAUUAUCCAAA